rnacentral:rRNA from 1 species
UACGUAGGGUGCGAGCGUUAAUCGGAAUUACUGGGCGUAAAGCGUGCGCAGGCGGUUUGUUAAGACAGAUGUGAAAUCCCCGGGCUUAACCUGGGAACUGCAUUUGUGACUGGCAAGCUAGAGUAUGGCAGAGGGGGGUAGAAUUCCACGUGUAGCAGUGAAAUGCGUAGAGAUGUGGAGGAAUACCGAUGGCGAAGGCAGCCCCCUGGGCCAAUACUGACGCUCAUGCACGAAAGCGUGGGGAGCAAACAGGAUUACGAAACC